UCAAGAGAGUGAUAAUUGUACCAUUGCUUUUUACCCCUGAGGUUGGCCCUUUCCUGCUUGAUUUGCUGCUCUGUUGAAGGCUGAAUUGUUCCCCUUUGCUUUUCUAUUGCAGGAAUUGUGUUUGAUUCGUUUCCGUCCCGUGUAUGAAGAGGAAGAUAUUUAUGCCUAUGUCUCUCUCUACGCCUACUUGAUCACUCAUGGUUGUUUUGGGGUUGUAACUAAUACUCCCAAGAGAACUAUCAAGAAUUUUUACCUGAUUCCCCUGAGUUCUGAGGACCCAAUUCCAUCCCAACUCUUGCCUCUUCAUGGGCCAGGUCUCGCGUCAUCUCGGCCCAAUGUAAUUCUCGGAGUGAUUGUUCGUCAGAACAAGAAGCAUUAAGUUUAUGUUUGUAAUUGUCUUAGAGGAUUGUUAAAAUACUGUUACAUUAUUAUCAUUAUUAUUGUUGUUUUCACUCUUACCAGUUUUAGCAAUCAGUUUGCUGUUCUCGUUCAAAUAAACAACAUUGUUUUGCAACAGA